rfam:Blautia sp. An249 An249_contig_2, whole genome shotgun sequence.
ACAGUACAAACUGAUCAGGCGAUGGAAGUUUUAUCCAUAGGCCGGGCUGCUUCGGCGGCAGCAGAUGAAAGCUGACACAUCUGCGGGACAGUA